rnacentral:lncRNA from 1 species
AUGGACAGCUACCGCAACACAAGGGAUCCCUGUCUCGGAGCUCUCAUGAGCACCCCCCCUACUCCUCCCAGCACUCCCCUCCAGCUCCGCACCCCCUCCUCCAAGCCUCAGAUUCAUGAUGAAUGCACUGAGGAAGAGUUUGAAGGGGAGAGCCAUUCUGAUCUGAAGGCUGAGGAGAGCUUCAGCAAAGAAGUGAAUGAACAUAAACAGAUGGAAGGUGCCAGAAGCAUGUGGUAGCUCCUUGUUACUCUUUGUAGGCUUUUCCUGUGGCCGCCAUGACAAAUAACUGCAACCCCAGUGACUAAGACAACGCACAUUUAUUCUCUUACAGUUCCGGAGGACAUACAUCUGAGAUGGGCUGAAAUCACGGCAUCAGCAGGGCUCUGGAGUUUUUGGAGGCUGGAGGCAAGGACCCAUUUCCUCUUCCAGCUUCUAGAGGGCACCUGCAUCCCUUGGCUGGUGGCCCCUUCUCCAUCGUCAAAGCUCAUCACCCCAGCCUCUGUUUCCAUUGUCACAUCUCCUUUUUUUGGACUUGGACCCUCCCUUCCAGUAUCCCUCUUUCUUACAAGGAUCCUCGUGAUUAUGCUGGACCGGCCUGGGUAGUCCAGGAUAUUCUCCCUGUCUCAAGAUCGUUAACUUAAUCAAGAUCGUUAACUCUGCAAAGAACCCUUUGCUGUGUAAGGUGAUAUAGGUACAAGUUUCAGGGGUGAGGACACGAACAUCUUUAGGGGGCCAUUAUUCUGUCUACCACAGUUCAGGAAGCUCAAUAGCCAAAAAUAGAAGUUUCAGGGGCACCUGGUGGGGGCUCAGUGAGCUAAGCACCCAGUUUCGGCUCAGGUAGUGAUCUCCUGGUUUGUGAGUUCAAGCCCUGCAUCGGGCUCUGCACUGACAAUGGGGGGCCUGCCUGGGAUUCUCUCUCUCUCUCUCUCUCUGUCCCUCCCCCACUUGAGCAGGAGUGUGUGCGCUCUCUCUCUCUCUCUCUCUCAAAUAAAUAAAUAAACUUUUUUAAAAAAUAGGCA